rnacentral:rRNA from 1 species
UGAGGAAUAUUGCACAAUGGAGGAAACUCUGAUGCAGCAACGCCGCGUGGAGGAUGACGCAUUUCGGUGUGUAAACUCCCUUUAAGAGGGAAGAUUAUGACGGUACCUCUUGAAUAAGCACCGGCUAACUCCGUGCCAGCAGCCGCGGUAAUACGGAGGGUGCAAGCGUUACUCGGAAUCACUGGGCGUAAAGGGUGCGUAGGCUGACUUUUAAGUCAGGCGUGAAAUCCAAUGGCUUAACCAUUGAACUGCGCUUGAAACUGGGAGUCUAGAGUUCAGAAGGGGGAGAUGGAAUUAGUGGUGUAGGGGUAAAAUCCGUAGAUAUCACUAAGAAUAUCAAAAGCGAAGGCGAUCUGCUGGGAUGAUACUGACGCUGAGGCACGAAAGCGUGGGGAGCAAACA